rnacentral:other from 1 species
AACACACUUACUUAUACACCAAACUCUCGUGUAUUAUUUGACCGAACAUUUGGACAUAGGGAGUCUAACAUUUGUGCUGAUAGCGAGCAUGCCCCAUUGGAGCGGGAAGUUUAAUAUCGCCGUGCGGACACCCACCUGCUAGCGAGCGGGUUCAAAAUUAGCGAGGGGUAAGUAAGCUGUGGUU